UACGAAGGGGGCUAGCGUUGUCCGGAAUCAUUGGGCGUAAAGCGCGUGUAGGCGGUUCGGUAAGUCCGCUGUGAAAGUCGGGGGCUCAACCCUCGGAUGCCGGUGGAUACUGUCGAGCUUGAGUACGGAAGAGGCGAGUGGAAUUCCUGGUGUAGCGGUGAAAUGCGUAGAUAUCGGGAGGAAUACCAGUGGCGAAGGCGGCUUCUUGGCCUGUUCUUGACGCUGAGGCGCGAAAGCUGGGGGAGCAAACGGG
rnacentral:rRNA from 1 species